rnacentral:misc_RNA from 1 species
GAACUGCGAUAAGUAAUGUGAAUUGCAGAAUUCAGUGAAUCAUCGAGUCUUUGAACGCACAUUGCGCCCCCUGGCAUUCCGGGGGGCAUGCCUGUCCGAGCGUCAUUGCUGCCCUUCAAGCCCGGCUUGUGUGUUGGGUCUUCGUCCCCUCCGGGGGACGGGCCCGAAAGGCAGCGGCGUCACCGCGUCCGGUCCUCGAGCGUAUGGGGCUUUGUCACCCGCUCGAUAAGGACCGGCCGGGCGCCAGCCGGCGUCUCCAACCUUUUUUUCUCAGGUUGACCUCGGAUCAGGUAGGGAUACCCGCUGAACUUAAGC